GGUAACUCUAAGAUCAACCCGAACCCGGUCUCUUUUAUUGAUUGGGUCGGGACAGGUUGGCUGGUAGGGCCGGGUCUUGUACACCCCUAGUAGUCAUCAUGCUAUGACACAUAUGUUGUACGGGUUCGAAUCCUCCUGGUGGUUACGUUUUGAAGUCACGUCCCUGGGAGUUGAACCCGCGAGGCGUGACUUGCAUUGCCAAGGGAUGCGUUGCCAAGCAGACCAACGUGUUGGUUGGUAAUAUUUCUGAACAUUAAUUGUAUAUGUGGGUUUUUGAGAAACCUUUUACCAAAAGAUUUCUUUUCACCAAGGGAUGUUAAUAUCUCUAUAUAAAGAGAUACUUGGGCAGAAAAACCAGAACAUUGAGAAGUGCGAAAUUUGUAUCUUUCAUACAAAUUUCUCUUCCAUUUCCAUUAUUCCAAAUCAUCCUCCAUUUCACUAAUGCAUGAGUGAAGUGUGUGAAUCAUACUUCUGUAAAAUAUUAUCAAAGAUACGCUUGGUGUGUUAGUGCAAACCACAUCAAGGAAUUCAAAGUAUCUUGAAGGGAAUUCGCCGGUUUAUCUCAAUUGCAUCCAAUAUACAUUAAUUGGUGGGGGCGAAUUGAACCUAAAGGUUAGUGCUUAGGCACGCUUUGAAUCUUCAAGUGCUCCUGUCAUCAAGAUCUUCAUCAAUUCAAGAGUUGCAGCAUCUUCCCCAACAGAGAUUAUUUCCCAACAAAAUUAAUUUACAAUGUGGAAUUCCCACUUAAUUCUCAUAUAUGCUUAAACUAUUUUGUCAUAGUUAGUCACAUUGGAAUUACAUACAGAAAAAAUUCCAGACUUAGGAGAAGAGCUCAUUUGGUGGCUUAGUUAUGGAAUCCACGCUGUCUUUCAGCCACUUCGGAUGGUAGGUGUAUCAUUUGAAGACUUUUGCCUGCACCAAAGAACUAUGAUAGUUAUUUUCUGUAAUAUCUCUUUAUCAUUUACUGUCGUCCCCUCAUCUGGUCUUAAAGCAAUACCUCUCUCAAACUUUUUGUAUGCCACACGAGGGAAAUAAUAGCACUAUACCAAGCUAUGAACAUAUGCUUUUUCUGAAAUUCCAUCAAAACGAUCUUUAUUCGCCACUUCCGGAGCUACAUAUCCUCUAUGGUCCCUUUAGCAUUAGAUAGAGAAGAAGAUCUUCUUGGCACAGAGAGAAGAAGAUCUUCUUGGAACUCAACGUGGCAAGUCCAAAAUCAGAUAUCUUUGGAGAUAAGUUCUCAUGUAGAGAAGUAUGUUUUAUGCUUUGAUAUCCAAAUAUCAUGGGGCCUUCAAAACAGUACACCAAAAGAUUAACAAUGUUUUUGUAUGAUGCUUGCCGCCUCAUUUUUGAAUUAUCCACCAUUUGAAUUUGAACGUGCUGGUGUUUUUUGUUGCAAUACUGGUGCGCAGUCAUAAAAUAAUGUAUACAUUUCAUAGAAGAGUAUAUAUAUUUCAUCUUUAGAAGUGUGAUUGAAGCUUAUAAAAAAAAAAGAAGUGGGGAUGAAGAGUGAUAAAUCCAAGCUUACAUUGACAUAAUCUUUUAGACAAGCACUAAUCGAUAAAUUUAAUGGUGCAAUAGUGAGGGAGAAACUCAUACAUAUCUGAAAGACCUUUACAUAAACGAAACCUUCAGCAUUUAAAAAAACCAACUUUCAUCAUAUUAGAGUAUUUUGAUUCCCCACAUGCUCUUAAAAGGAAUGUGAUGAGGGUUGGUUGGUU
rnacentral:lncRNA from 1 species